GAUGAACGCUGGCGGCGUGCCUAAUACAUGCAAGUCGAGCGAACAGACGAGGAGCUUGCUCCUCUGACGUUAGCGGCGGACGGGUGAGUAACACGUGGAUAACCUACCUAUAAGACUGGGAUAACUUCGGGAAACCGGAGCUAAUACCGGAUAAUAUAUUGAACCGCAUGGUUCAAUAGUGAAAGACGGUUUUGCUGUCACUUAUAGAUGGAUCCGCGCCGCAUUAGCUAGUUGGUAAGGUAACGGCUUACCAAGGCGACGAUGCGUAGCCGACCUGAGAGGGUGAUCGGCCACACUGGAACUGAGACACGGUCCAGACUCCUACGGGGGGCAGCAGUAGGGAAUCGUCCGCAAUGGGCGAAAGCCUGACGGAGCAACGCCGCGUGAGUUAUGAAGGUCUUCGGAUCGUAAAACUCUGUUAUUAGGGAAGAACAAAUGUGUAAGUAACUAUGCACGUCUUGACGGUACCUAAUCAGAAAGCCACGGCUAACUACGUG
rnacentral:rRNA from 1 species